AUUAUGUUGUGCGCUAUGCUUUCUGGAGUUGUUAUACUCCCUCUGAUAUUGUUCCUUGAAUGCCAUUAUGAGUACAAGUCAAUGGCAAGUUUGAAACCUGUUUGUUUCUGGAAAAAAGACUCUGACAUGAUGAACAAUUCUUCAAUACCCCCAGCCCAAUUAGGCCUUAGCCCCUCAUCUAGCAUUCGUCACACAUGCCCCCUCAAGAACCUUUCUCCACCACCUUUCUAUCAGCAUGUAAUAUGCAAUCAUUCAUUCACUGAACUCAUUUGGAUGAAUUGGACAAAUAGUAACCCUUAUAAGUACCAGUUACCCAUAUGAAAUGUGUCUACAGCUAAUGAAACCGAUGCAUUAUGUUUGUUUGAAGGUUCACGGAAAAUUGUUAGAUCUUAUAACGCAGAAAUGUGCACAGUUAAGGUUGAAUAUCAAUGUAAACAGACAGGCCUUAUUACUUUUAAUAAUGAUUAUAUAACUGGUAUCAUUAAUUGGAAAAGGGGACAAAUGUUAGUCAUUAUGAACGACACUGCAAUUGAGAACUAUACACUACCUUAUAUUUUUACACCUUAUUACUGUCCUUUAUCCACUACCAUAGAACCAAAAGUCAACAACGACACACACACACUUAUUCCGUCCACAUGUAUUAAUACAACUGCCUUCUUACAAGCUGUACAUGUGUCAUUAAAAAUCACUACUCCUGUUACUAAAUAGUUAUAGAUAUGGAGACCCUCAAGAAUAAGUUAAACACAGCCAGCAUGCAUAUAGGGACUGGUUUUCAUGCUACUGCAAAUUGGGCUCCAAUUGUUGUUAAAUCACAGGUUAUAGGAUUGGAUUUAGAUAAAUCAAUGUAUAAUUAUUUAGAUAAUUUAACUGUUGCAACUAUGAAAUUCACUACAGGUCUAAGUAACUGGAGUACUUGUGCCAUCAGGUAUUUAUGGAUACAACAACAAGGAUUGGCAUUAGAAAGCACACUAAUGAUUCCUAAACUAGAGAAGAUUAGAGGAAAGCGUAACCUCACAGAUAAUGAAUGGUUACUUCUAAAACCCCAAUCCACUAAAUGCAAUGGAUGGUUAACCGGUAAUGUUUCACAUUUUUCAUGCUCAUGCUAUUUUACAUUAUAUCAUACAUCCUCAAAGGAUGUUAAAUUAGCUUGUCAAUUUAACACAUUACCAGUACCAGUUUAUUAUCUUUUUGCCAAGAAUUUAACCUGGUGGGCACCCACAUACACAGGGGACUAUAUUUUUCCCAAAGAUAACACACACAGGUAGCCACACAUAUCCUAAAAGGAGAACUCCUUAAGGUGAGUUCACUAAUUCAGAAUGAUUUAGC